AAAAACAGGGAUACUUUACCCUGGUAAGGAACAUCACUCAUAUGGUACCUGCAUCGAUUUCUAUAACAUUGUUUAUAUAUUUAGUCAAUUAAUUUUAUUAUCUGCUUAUCUUUUUAUUUCUCGAUUCAGUUUACAAUUUAUUGAUUGCUUGAUGGAGCAUAGUUGAUGGACAUAUAUAUAUAUAUGUAUAUGUUGUUUUCAGUUCAACUAACUUGUUGCUGGAUUGAAUAAAUUACUGUAAUAUUAAGUCUCAUGGUUUGGAUUUUAUUGUGACUAUCAAGUUACAUCAGUUGAUGGCACUUAUGUCCACAUCUUUACAUUAUACAUAUGUAUAAAUAUACAAGCAAUUUUUAUAGUCCAUCCUUGAACUUUACCUCAUAUUUCAUUUUUGUUCUUUAACUUUAAUUUGUUACUAAAAAAAUCACUAAAUUUUAAUUUUGUUUCAUAAAAAAUCCCUCUAACUUGCAAUAACAGUUUUUCAGAUUAAAAAAUCCUUCUAAGCUACUAUGUGACAUCUACAAAUACAGUUUCAGCAUUUUCCGAUGAAGAGUAAAUCCUCCUUUUUUCGAGGAAGCAGAUCAUUGUAAUAUCAUUGGUACUUUUGUGAUAAGUCUAGAUGGUGAUUAAAAUGGCUGGUAUUUUUUUAAUGUGAGAGGAAAUGAGGUAAAAAAAGAUAAUUUCAUUAUUUUUUUCAACCUAGAAACUUGCUAUAACAGAUAAAAAUGAUUUUUGUGAAACAAAAUUAAAUUUUAGGAAUUUUUUUAGUAACAAAUUGAAGUUAAGGGAUGGAAGUGAAACACAGGGCAAAAUUCAGGAAUGAGCUGUAAAAAUUACCCAUUUAUAUACACACACGAUAUAUGCAGUCUAUUAAUCAACUGAGUUAUUCUUAUCUAAGCUGUCUAAUAGUCUCCCUGCUCUUUUCUCAUUCUUCAUCUUGUUCUUCCAUCAUAGACCAUCAUCAUUGUCUGCAUAGUAAGUAAUGCAUUCGUCCUUCUUCCUAUCUUUCUAAUUUUAUUCUUGAUAGGAGGAGUGGCGAAGAGGUCUUAAAGCGCUGAGGGCUGAUACU
rnacentral:misc_RNA from 1 species